rnacentral:rRNA from 1 species
UGCAGUCGAACGAACCUUCGGGUUAGUGGCGGACGGGUGAGUAACGCGUGGGAAUCUGCCCUCAGGAGGGGGAUAACGGCUGGAAACGGCCGCUAAUACCCCAUAUGCCGAGAGGUGAAAUGAAUUUCGCCUGAGGAUGAGCCCGCGUCUGAUUAGCUAGUUGGUGAGGUAAGAGCUCACCAAGGCAUCGAUCAGUAGCUGGUCUGAGAGGAUGAUCAGCCACACUGGGACCGAGACACGGCCCAGACUCCUACGGGAGGCAGCAGUGGGGAAUUUUCCGCAAUGGGCGAAAGCCUGACGGAGCAACGCCGCGUGAGGGAUGAAGGCCUCUGGGCUGUAAACCUCUUUUCUCAAGGAAGAAGAUCUGACGGUACUUGAGGAAUAAGCCACGGCUAAUUCCGUGCCAGCAGCCGCGGUAAUACGGGAGUGGCAAGCGUUAUCCGGAAUUAUUGGGCGUAAAGCGUCCGCAGGCGGCCCUUCAAGUCUGCUGUUAAAACGUGGAGCUUAACUCCAUCAUGGCAGUGGAAACUGUUGGGCUUGAGUGUGGUAGGGGCAGAGGGAAUUCCCGGUGUAGCGGUGAAAUGCGUAGAUAUCGGGAAGAACACCAGUGGCGAAGGCGCUCUGCUGGGCCAUAACUGACGCUCAUGGACGAAAGCCAGGGGAGCGAAAGGGAUUAGAUACCCCUGUAGUCCUGGCCGUAAACGAUGAACACUAGGUGUCGGGGGAAUCGACCCCCUCGGUGUCGUAGCCAACGCGUUAAGUGUUCCGCCUGGGGAGUACGCACGCAAGUGUGAAACUCAAAGGAAUUGACGGGGGCCCGCACAAGCGGUGGAGUAUGUGGUUUAAUUCGAUGCAGCGCGAAGAACCUUACCAGGGUUUGACAUCCUGCGAACCUCUUGGAA